rnacentral:rRNA from 1 species
AGAGUUUGAUCAUGGCUCAGAUUGAACGCUGGCGGCAGGCCUAACACAUGCAAGUCGAACGGUAACAGGAAGCAGCUUGCUGCUUGGCUGACGAGUGGCGGACGGGUGAGUAAUGUCUGGGAAACUGCCUGAUGGAGGGGGAUAACUACUGGAAACGGUGGCUAAUACCGCAUAACGUCGCAAGACCAAAGAGGGGGACCUUCGGGCCUCUUGCCAUCAGAUGUGCCCAGAUGGGAUUAGCUAGUUGGUGAGGUAACGGCUCACCAAGGCGACGAUCCCUAGCUGGUCUGAGAGGAUGACCAGCCACACUGGAACUGAGACACGGUCCAGACUCCUACGGGAGGCAGCAGUGGGGAAUAUUGCACAAUGGGCGCAAGCCUGAUGCAGCCAUGCCGCGUGUAUGAAGAAGGCCUUCGGGUUGUAAAGUACUUUCAGCGGGGAGGAAGGUGUUGUGGUUAAUAACCGCAGCAAUUGACGUUACCCGCAGAAGAAGCACCGGCUAACUCCGUGCCAGCAGCCGCGGUAAUACGGAGGGUGCAAGCGUUAAUCGGAAUUACUGGGCGUAAAGCGCACGCAGGCGGUCUGUCAAGUCGGAUGUGAAAUCCCCGGGCUCAACCUGGGAACUGCAUUCGAAACUGGCAGGCUUGAGUCUUGUAGAGGGGGGUAGAAUUCCAGGUGUAGCGGUGAAAUGCGUAGAGAUCUGGAGGAAUACCGGUGGCGAAGGCGGCCCCCUGGACAAAGACUGACGCUCAGGUGCGAAAGCGUGGGGAGCAAACAGGAUUAGAUACCCUGGUAGUCCACGCCGUAAACGAUGUCUACUUGGAGGUUGUGCCCUUGAGGCGUGGCUUCCGGAGCUAACGCGUUAAGUAGACCGCCUGGGGAGUACGGCCGCAAGGUUAAAACUCAAAUGAAUUGACGGGGGCCCGCACAAGCGGUGGAGCAUGUGGUUUAAUUCGAUGCAACGCGAAGAACCUUACCUGGUCUUGACAUCCACAGAAGAAUCCAGAGAUGGAUUUGUGCCUUCGGGAACUGUGAGACAGGUGCUGCAUGGCUGUCGUCAGCUCGUGUUGUGAAAUGUUGGGUUAAGUCCCGCAACGAGCGCAACCCUUAUCCUUUGUUGCCAGCGGUCCGGCCGGGAACUCAAAGGAGACUGCCAGUGAUAAACUGGAGGAAGGUGGGGAUGACGUCAAGUCAUCAUGGCCCUUACGACCAGGGCUACACACGUGCUACAAUGGCGCAUACAAAGAGAAGCGACCUCGCGAGAGCAAGCGGACCUCAUAAAGUGCGUCGUAGUCCGGAUUGGAGUCUGCAACUCGACUCCAUGAAGUCGGAAUCGCUAGUAAUCGUGGAUCAGAAUGCCACGGUGAAUACGUUCCCGGGCCUUGUACACACCGCCCGUCACACCAUGGGAGUGGGUUGCAAAAGAAGUAGGUAGCUUAACCUUCGGGAGGGCGCUUACCACUUUGUGAUUCAUGACUGGGGUGAAGUCGUAACAAGGUAACCGUAGGGGAACCUGCGGUUG